rnacentral:rRNA from 1 species
CCGGCGACCGGCGCACGGGUGAGUAACACGUAUGCAACCUGCCCUCUUCAGGGGGACAACCUUCCGAAAGGGAGGCUAAUCCCGCGUAUAUCGGUUUCGGGCAUCCGAGAUCGAGGAAAGAUUCAUCGGAAGAGGAUGGGCAUGCGGCGCAUUAGCUAGUCGGCGGGGUAACGGCCCACCGAGGCGACGAUGCGUAGGGGUUCUGAGAGGAAGGUCCCCCACACUGGUACUGAGACACGGACCAGACUCCUACGGGAGGCAGCAG